rnacentral:rRNA from 1 species
AUUGAACGCUGGCGGUAUGCUUAAGACAUGCAAGUCGUGCGGUAGAAGGCUUCGGCCUUUGAGAGCGGCGGACGGGUGAGUAACACGUGGGAAUCUGCCUAUUAGUGGGGGACAGCCCAGCGAAAGCUGGAUUAAUACCGCAUACGCCCUACGGGGAAAGGCAGCAAUGCGCUAAUAGAUGAGCCCGCGUAAGAUUAGCUAGUUGGUAAGGUAAAGGCGUUACCAAGGACGACGAUCUUUAGCUGGUCUGAGAGGAUGGCCAGCCACAUCGGGACUGAGACACGGCCCGGACUCCUACGGGAGGCAGCAGUCGGGAAUAUUGGACAAUGGGCGCAAGCCUGAUCCAGCAAUACCGCGUGUGUGAAGAAGGCCUGCGGGUUGUAAAGCACUUUAAUGAGGGAGGAGUAGGGUUCGUUGAAUAGACGAAUCUGAGGACGUUACCUCAAGAAUAAGCACCGGCUAACUCUGUGCCAGCAGCCGCGGUAAAGUCUAG